rnacentral:miRNA from 14 species
AGCGGCGGCGGCGGCGGCGGCGGCGGCGGCGGCGGCGGCGGCGGCG